rnacentral:rRNA from 1 species
UGACUGUACUAAGGUAGCAUAAUCAUUAGUUUUUUAAUUGGAGACUGGGAUGAAGGGUAGAAUUUGAGAAGAGCGUUUUAUUUAUUAAGUUUGAAUUUAAGUUAAAAGUAAGAAUGCUUUUAUGGACCUUUGGGACGAUAAGACCCUAGAAGUUUUAUACUAGAUUAACAAGUAUUUAGUUGGGGAGACUAGUGAAGAAAGAGAACUUUAUGGAUAGUAGUUAAGAGCUUAAGGAAUUACUCUAGGGAUAACAGCGUUAUUUGGUUUUUAAGU